rnacentral:lncRNA from 1 species
CAGGCUCUGUUCCAAUCCCUCCCUAGAAAUGAGAUGUCCUUCCAGGCUUAGCCCAGAGGGUCUUGUAACCCCGAGGUAUAAAACUCAGUGUGGGCUGCUUUCUGAGGUCCCUCAGCUGCUAUGAAAGUGGAGCACAUGCAGUUGAGACUCCAUCCACCCAGGCAGCUUUCCUGAACCUUGGAGGACUGGGUGGCAAUGAAUCCUCGGUUUCUGUUGUCCCUUGCUGCCUGCCUAUCUGGCAAAUGACACCAUCUGGACCCUGGAAACAGCACAUGUUUGGUGCAGUCACCCUCCCCCAAGCCAGCAUCUUAAGCAAAGUCUCCUCCCCCUUUAAAUGAGCCUCCUUCAUGUUUUCCUUUCUUCUGGUCCGCUUGGUUUUCAUGUUCCUCUCUCUGCUCUCUUUGUCCUGCUGAGCAGACAGCAAACCUGCAGGUUCUGUGAUCCUGCUGCUCAGCUUUAAAACAAAAAACAAAAACAAAACCAUGUUGCAA